GACGCAGUGGCCUGAUGGUUAGAGCAUUGGACUCCAGAUCGAGUAGUCCGGGUUCAAGCCCUGGCCGGGGUCA